CACAUAUAUAAUAGUAACUUAUUCCAUUUUCAAGACGUGGUCCAUGCUCUCAUGGAAACACACGUUCAAAACAUCUAGUCCCUAUUGCUAGUUGAACAUAAGAACUCUACAGAGAGUAGAAGACUUUCUUUUGAGCUUUCAUCAAUGGCAGAUGGGUCUCGAUCUCGAUAUGAAGUUGGAAAAAGAAGCAACGAGACUUUCAACAUUAAUAAUAAUGAUAUCUCCGCAAUUAGAAGCAAAAAGGUUGGGAUUCGCAAGGCUUUCAACAAAGAAGGCAGAGGUGGUGAUCAGGCAAGGACGGCUAGAAACCUCAACAUUUCUGGCAAUAAAAUUCGUGGAGAAGACAGCGAUAGCGUUGGGAUUAGCAACGUUGGCAACACGAACUACAACAAGUCGAGCGUACCAUUUCUUCUUGGUCUUCUUAUUCUUCUUGUUCUAGCUUUAUUUUUUUUCUCUUUUUAUAUAUUAACGGUGAGUAAGCAAAACAAAAAAUGAAGCAAGCGGCUUGAGUGAAAAAGAAGGCAUGACCGAGAAGAAAAAGAAGAAGACAAAAAUCAGUAAGUGAGAAAGAAAGGUUCGGCUUGGAUUUUCCUGUACUAUUACGUAGCGGAAGGGUUUGGAGAUGUAUGGCCACCAUAGCUCCUAUACUCAAACUUUUCUUUGCGUUACUUUCUCUGAAUCUGAAUCUUAUUUCUCUUAUAUAUAUAUUUAUGUAUUUAUUCUUCUUCUACAUGCCAUAAGUAUAUUGAUACAUGCUGAGUAA